rnacentral:hammerhead_ribozyme from 1 species
GCACUGCUGAGGAGUCUCAAAAUAGGACGAAACGACCGUCCAGUGC